rnacentral:rRNA from 1 species
UACGUAGGGCGCGAGCGUUUGUCCGGAAUUAUUGGGCGUAAAGAGCUCGUAGGCGGUUUGUCGCGUCGGUUGUGAAAACCCAAGGCUCAACCUUGGGCCUGCAAUCGAUACGGGCAGACUAGAGUACUGCAGGGGAGACUGGAAUUCCUGGUGUAGCGGUGGAAUGCGCAGAUAUCAGGAGGAACACCGAUGGCGAAGGCAGAUCUCUGGGCCGUAACUGACGCUGAGGAGCGAAAGCAUGGGGAGCGAACAGG